CAUACAUUCUUCCAUCUCCUCACAUUCCUUCUCAUCUACUUCUCCUCAUCCUCCUUGUCCAAGCUGUCUAUAAACUAUCUCCCUUCACGAUAGCUCCUCCAGCUCCAUCCCUUCUUGCCUUUUCCCUCUUCUCCUCCUUGUCCUCCUCUAACUCAUUCUUUAUCGGCAGCCCCUCUCCCCUCCUCCCCUUCCUCCCUCCUCAUCCUCUUCCUCUUCCAAACCCACCUAUCCAUCCACCUCCUUCCCUUUCUCCUCAUUCAUUUUUUUUCCUCAUCCUCCUCUACAUCCAAGCUGCCCAUA
rnacentral:lncRNA from 1 species